UACGAAGGGUGCAAGCGUUACUCGGAAUUACUGGGCGUAAAGCGUGCGUAGGUGGUUCGUUAAGUCUGUCGUGAAAGCCCCGGGCUCAAUCUGGGAAUGGCGAUGGAUACUGGCAAGCUAGAGUAUGGUAGAGGAAGGUGGAAUUCCCGGUGUAGCAGUGAAAUGCGUAGAGAUCGGGAGGAACACCAGUGGCGAAGGCGGCCUUCUGGACCAAUACUGACGCUCAUGCACGAAAGCGUGGGGAGCAAACAGG
rnacentral:rRNA from 1 species